GACGAACGCUGGCGGCGUGCCUAAUACAUGCAAGUUGAGCGCUGAAGGUUGGUACUUGUACCAACUGGAUGAGCAGCGAACGGGUGAGUAACGCGUGGGGAAUCUGCCUUUGAGCGGGGGACAACAUUUGGAAACGAAUGCUAAUACCGCAUAAAAACUUUAAACACAAGUUUUAAGUUUGAAAGAUGCAAUUGCAUCACUCAAAGAUGAUCCCGCGUUGUAUUAGCUAGUUGGUGAGGUAAAGGCUCACCAAGGCGAUGAUACAUAGCCGACCUGAGAGGGUGCUCGGCCCCAUUGGGACUGAGACACGGCCCAAACUCCUACGGGAGGCAGCAGUAGGGAAUCUUCGGCCAUGGACGAAAGUCUGACCGAGCAACGCCGCGUGAGUGGAGAAGGUUUUCGGAUCGUAAAACUCUGUUGGUAGAGAAGAACGUUGGUGAGAGUGGAAAGCUCAUCAAGUGACGGUAACUACCCAGAAAGGGACGGCUAACUACGUG
rnacentral:rRNA from 1 species